rnacentral:sRNA from 1 species
UUUCUGUGGAUUUAGCCAAGGACAAGAUAAGAAAGGAGUGUUCGAGAUUUACAAUUCCA